GAUUUCUGGCUUGAAACAUUUUGCCGGCCACGGUUUCGUGUGUUAGUGCUUGGUGUUCUGGCCAUCCUUCCAAUCGCUGUUUGUCUCUCUUCAUUGAGUGGGCAAGUGGUAUUGGAUCUUUUACUUUGAAAAAAUUAGAGUGUUUCAAGCAGGCUUCUUGCUUUGAAUACAUUAGCAUGGAAUAAUAAUUUAGGACUUCGGUUCUAUUUUGUUGGUUUCUAGGACUGAAGUAAUGAUUGAUAGGGAUAGUUGGGGGUGCUAGUAUUCAGCGGCCAGAGGUGAAAUUCUCGGAUUCGCUGAAGACUAACUUAUGCGAAAGCAUU
rnacentral:rRNA from 1 species